rnacentral:rRNA from 1 species
CAAACGACUCUCGGCAACGGAUAUCUCGGCUCAUGCAUCGAUGAAGAACGUAGCAAAAUGCGAUACUUGGUGUGAAUUGCAGAAUCCCGUGAACCAUCGAGUUUUUGAACGCAAGUUGCGCCCGAAGCCUUUUGGCCGAGGGCAUGUCUGCCUGGGUGUCACAC